AUUUCGCUUCCAGUCAUGGAGAAUAGCGAAGGCGUGAAUCGGAGGCCCUUAUGGGAGCUGAGCCCCCCCAAAAAAGGAGGCGGCCGAGGCCAAACGAAUGGCGCUGCGGGCCCGGAAGGAGGCCGGGGAGGCCAGGCCCGCCCCCCGCCUCCUCCGGGCCCGAUUAUUCGCGGGGCUGGGCAACGACGAGGGCGGCGGCGGGCGCAGCGAGGGCGGGAGGAGGCCUCCCCCGGCGCGGCCCCAGAGGCAGGGCCGCCUCCAGCCCCUCCUGGCCAGACCAUGGCCGGAGGGGCCGCUGCCCUGCCUCGGGAGCGCCGGGGCGAAGGCGGGCCCCCGCGCCGCCCCCCAGCAGAGGCCCCUGAGGCGGCAGGGCGCGGCCCGGCCUCUGCUGGGGAGGCGCGGGGAGGGCGGGGGGGAGGCGGAGGGGCCGCUGCCCGCCCUGCUCCUCUUCCACCCGGCGCCCCCUCCGCGCCCUCCCCCGCGCCGGCCCGCCGCCCCUCCCGCCCGGAACACCAGACAACACCUCUGCUUCCCGCCGCUGCCCUCGCGCCUGCCCAGCCCACCGCGAACCCCCUGCAACACGCCCACCCAGGAGGACGAGUGAUGAGUUUAUCUCCGGCACCAUUAUCCCUCUUAAUCAAAGCUGCUCCCAUCCUCACAGAAGAGAUGUACGGGGACAUCCAGCCUGCAGCAUGGGAACUGUUACUUAGCAUGGAUGAGCACAUGGCUGGUGCAGCAGCUGCCAUGUUCCUUCUGUGUGCUGUGAAAGUGCCCGAGGCAGUGUCAGAUAUGCUGAUGUCUGAAUUUAAUCACCCCGAGGCAGUGCAGAGGUUGAAUGCUAUACUCAAGUUCCACACCCUCUGGAGAUUUAGGUAUCAGGUCUGGCCACGGAUGGAGGAAGGAGCUCAGCAGAUCUUUAAGAUUCCUCCACCUAGCAUCAACUUCACCCUGCCAUCCCCAGUACUGGGAAUGCCCUCUGUCCCCAUGUUUGACCCACCAUGGGUACCACUAUGUGGUGGAAGUGUGCAGGACACUAUUAAUGAAGAUCAAUCUAAGUCAUUUUCAGCCCGGGCAGUGUCACGCUCCCAUCAGUGUGCAGAGCACAUUCUGAAGAAUCUGCAGCAAGAAGAAGAGAAAAAACGUCUGGGUCGAGAAGCUAGUCUGAUCACUGCCAUCCCCAUCACUCAGGAAGCUUGUUAUGAGCCCACCUGUUCCCCAAACUCGGAACAGGAGGAAGAAGUAGAAGAAGUUGUUAACCUGGCAUCUCGUCGUCUCUCUGUGAGUCCAUCAUGCACUUCGAGUACCUCUCACAGGAACUACUCUUUUCGGCGUGGCUCAGUUUGGUCAGUGCGUUCAGCAGUCAGUGCUGAAGAUGAGGAACACACAACAGAGCAUACACCAAAUCAUCAUGUGCCCCAGCCUCCACAAGCGGUCUUCCCGGCUUGUAUCUGUGCAGCUGUGCUUCCCAUUGUUCACCUGAUGGAAGAUGGAGAAGUCCGGGAGGAUGGUGUCGCAGUGAGUGCAGUAGCUCAGCAAGUCCUAUGGAACUGUCUCAUUGAAGAUCCAUCUACAGUUCUUCGACAUUUUCUGGAGAAGCUUACGAUCAGCAAUCGGCAGGAUGAGUUGAUGUAUAUGCUCAGGAAACUUCUGCUUAACAUUGGAGACUUCCCUGCUCAGACAUCCCAUAUCCUCUUUAACUACUUGGUGGGAUUGAUCAUGUAUUUUGUGCGCACACCAUGUGAAUGGGGCAUGGAUGCUAUUUCAGCAACACUGACCUUCCUUUGGGAAGUUGUUGGCUAUGUGGAAGGACUUUUCUUCAAGGACCUCAAACAGACUAUGAAGAAGGAACAAUGUGAAGUGAAGCUGUUGGUGACUGCCUCCAUGCCAGAAACCUCCAUACGGACAAUGACUCUGCACGCCUUGAAACCUCCUCUGCUAAAACGUUAAUGGACAUUGGAACUCGGAGCAUCUUUACUUCUGAUCAUGACAUCUUUCGGCAAAGUGUGAGGAAGUUCUUUCAGGAGGCUGUAGUUCCAUAUCAUGCAGAGUGGGAGAAGGCAGGACAGGUGAGCAGAGAGCUUUGGGAAAAAGCUGGGCAACAGGGCUUGCUGGGUGUCAAUAUAUCUGAAGAACAUGGUGGCAUUGGAGGGGAUCUCUGCUCUACAGCAGUUGUUUGGGAAGAGCA